GCACACAGAUCCAUGAGGUCCACACAGAGGCACCCAGUGCUCCACCAAGAGCACAGAGGGACCUCAAACCGAAGCCUGAGCCAGCCACCCAGAGAGAGACCCUGAGCAGAUCCCAAGCCACACAGCAAACUGACAGUGAAGGAGGCUGACACCAGUGGCCCCCACACACCAAGAAAAUUCUUGUGUUUUUGUUAAUUACUUCUAAAAAAAAAAAAAGAAUUAGAUUCCCCAUGAAAACCUGCAAAAUCCUUUCCUUCCCAGGUUUUCACUAGCUUGAGCUCUGACUCACAGUUGAGAGAACGACAAAUUUGGAAAAGAAGCCAAACUCUGUUGGCAUCGAAUGAGGGAAACUAUUUGUCCAGUUUCAGUUCCCAUUCAGUCCAAUGGCCUCAGGGGUCUCAUGCUUCAUUUUGGGGGGGACAAGUUCCCAUACUCAAAGUGACUUCUUUCCUUUGGAAACGUGAGGUAGGGAGGCCUAUGGCAAGUGGGAUCCAGGAUGAAAUUAAGCAGCAGAGAAGCAUCUGACGCCUCUUUGCUAGCUUGCAGGCAGCCAAGUGAUUCUGUACAGAAGAGCUUGUGUUAGGUUUGUGAGAUUGGCUUUAUUUUGCAAUGAAAGCAGCCAUAUUAUCAAACACAUGAAGCUUAUCACGAAUGAGACAAUUUUUGGUAAUACUUCGAUUACAUCCUCUAGUGUAUUUGUACUUACUGCUUAGUAUUAAAUGAUAUUGCUCAUUUGGCUCCUUUUAAAAUAUAGUAGAACGUUCAGACGGUGGUACGCAUGUCUCUAGAAAAUGAAAAAACCCUUAUGUUCAGCUGUGAUAGUUUAAACUUCUGAACCAUGCAGGAUUCACAUUUUCUAUCAUUCUAAAAAAUGCACAUUUUUCCAAGUCUCAGGAAAUUUAUAUUUAUUUUCUAUUUAUUGUAGGGCUACAAAAAGGAUAUAUUGCUUAAAAGAAUUUUGAUCUCUUAGAAAAUAUGGCACUCAAUAUAUAUUUACCUCAAAUUUCUUGAGAAUUGGCAUUUUAGCAUCUGUUAAAGAAAGUAUACACUCAAUCAGCAUUUCUAUUAUAAUACUAAUGAAGUCUCACUGUCUGCCUCAUACUUUCCAAACCAUGCGCUCAGUUGAGACUCCAUAUUUCUCAUUGGUUAUAAAAAGUCUGUUGCUCUCAACACAGGAAAAUCUCGAUAAUGAACAUAUGUCAAGUGUAUGUCUGGUGAAGUCUCUCAAGUCACUCUUUGGGGUGACAGUAUCAUGGCCCUUUCUCUCAAAGCUGAUGGGAGAGCUCUGUGAAGGGUAUUUUUUCAAUAAAGAAAAAAACAUAUUCAGGUGGUAAAAUAGUUUACAAAAUCAUAGCUUUUAUUCUUUUUGAAAAGUACUUCCUUUGUGAUAUUUUCUGAUGUUACUGAAUCACAGACCUAUGGAAAGUGGCCACCAUGUCCAAGAAUGUCCAAUGGAUAAUAUUUACAAACUAGAACAGCAUAGUUACUGUACACCUACAAUAUCUCAUGGUCAAAAACAUGACACUCUCUUUUUGGAAGUUUAAGCUGGAAAACCUUCUUUUUCUUUCAUGGCCUAUGGAAGUUUCCAGGAUAGGGGUCGAAUUGGAGCUGUAGCUGAAACCUAUGGCACAGCCACAGCAAUGCUGGAUCCAAGCCACACCUGCAAUCUACACUGCAGCUGACUGCAAUGCCAGUCCCUUCACCCACUGGGCGAGGCCAGGGACCGAACUCGCAUCCGCACAGAGACUAGAGUGGGUCCUUAACCCACUGAGCCACAAUGAACUCCUAAACUGGUAUUUCUAUACCACGUCUUUGAGCUAAAACUAAAUUUGAGUAAGAACUACUAUAAAAUAAGGUAAAGCUCAACAACAGUUGAGGAUAGAGGAAAUGCUAGCAUCUUUCAUAGGAAAACACAAUUUCCUCUUCUCAUCUUGACUACAAGAAAUGUGGAUGAUACAGCUUUUUGGUGUAAGCAUGUGUGUAUGUGUGUGCGUACUUUAGCUAGUCCUGUGCAUUGGAUGAUUAAAAUUUUUUUUUUUUAAAUUUGGGGAUCAGAAUAUUUUUAUAUAAGUGAUGCAAAGGAUAUGUGAUUUAUUAGGUUCUAUGACCAUUCUCCUUUUGGAAUGGAUCACAAGGGCAAAAAUAAUUACUAACACAUAUUUUCUGGAAAAGCAAUUACAUGUCCUUGAAAUUUCCCCGUAGGGAAAAAGGAGGAGACUUUGGGAAGGUAGAUGAGAUAUCCUUGCCCCACAAAUAAGGUUUAGGCUAUUCAAACUAGAAGGGGACAAAACACUGUAAAUCAGCUCUACUUCAAUAAAAAUUUCUGUAGGAGUUCCCACUGUGGUGCAGUGGAAAUGAAUCUAACUAGGAACCAUGAGGUUUCGGGUUUGAUCCCUGGACUCGCUCAGUGGGUUAAGGAUCCGGCAUUGCUGUGGCUGUGGUGUAGGCCAGCACCUACAGCUCCAGUUUGACCCCUAGUCUGGCAACCUCCACAUGCCAUAGGGGCGGCUCUAAAAAGCAAAAAAAAAAAAAAAAAAAAAA
rnacentral:lncRNA from 1 species